GCAGUGGCUCAUCGGUAGAACCUUUGCUUGAAAUGCAGAAGGCCCCAGGUUUAACUCCCAGCAUCUCCA
rnacentral:tRNA from 1 species